rnacentral:rRNA from 1 species
UACGAAGGGGGCUAGCGUUGUUCGGAAUUAUACGUGGGCGUAAAGCGCACGUAGGCGGACAUUUAAAGGUCAGGGGUGAAAUCCCGGGGCUCAACCCCCGGAACUGCCUUUGAUACUGGGUGUCUUGAGUGUGGUAGAGGUGAGUGGAAUUGCGAGUGUAGAGGUGAAAUUCGUAGAUAUUCGCAGGAACACCAGUGGCGAAGGCGGCGACCUGGACAAGUAACUGACACUCGAA